rnacentral:tRNA from 1 species
AAUGUUAUAGUUUAUUAAAAAUAUAUAUUUUGCAAGUAUAAGAUAGGAUUUACCUUAAUGUUA